rnacentral:rRNA from 1 species
AAUCCAUAGGUUAAUGAGGCGAACCGGGGGAACUGAAACAUCUAAGUACCCCGAGGAAAAGAAAUCAACCGAGAUUCCCCCAGUAGCGGCGAGCGAACGGGGAGGAGCCCAGAGCCUGAAUCAGCAUGUGUGUUAGUGGAAGCGUCUGGAAAGGCGCGCGAUACAGGGUGACAGCCCCGUACACAAAAGCGCAUGUGCUGUGAGCUCGAUGAGUAGGGCGGGACACGUGGUAUCCUGUCUGAAUAUGGGGGGACCAUCCUCCAAGGCUAAAUACUCCUGACUGACCGAUAGUGAACCAGUACCGUGAGGGAAAGGCGAAAAGAACCCCGGCGAGGGGAGUGAAAAAGAACCUGAAACCGUGUACGUACAAGCAGUGGGAGCACAGGUUUACCUGUGUGACUGCGUACCUUUUGUAUAAUGGGUCAGCGACUUAUAUUCUGUAGCAAGGUUAACCGAAUAGGGGAGCCGGAGGGAAACCGAGUCUUAAUUGGGCGUUAAGUUGCAGGGUAUAGACCCGAAACCCGGUGAUCUAGCCAUGGGCAGGUUGAAGGUUGGGUAACACUAACUGGAGGACCGAACCGACUAAUGUUGAAAAAUUAGCGGAUGACCUGUGGCUGGGGGUGAAAGGCCAAUCAAACCGGGAGAUAGCUGGUUCUCCCCGAAAGCUAUUUAGGUAGCGCCUCGUGAAUUCAUCUCCGGGGGUAGAGCACUGUUUCGGCUAGGGGGCCAUCCCGGCUUACCAACCCGAUGCAAACUGCGAAUACCGGAGAAUGUUAUCACGGGAGACACACGGCGGGUGCUAACGUCCGUCGUGAAGAGGGAAACAACCCAGACCGCCAGCUAAGGUCCCAAAGUCAUGGUUAAGUGGGAAACGAUGUGGGAAGGCCCAGACAGCCAGGAUGUUGGCUUAGAAGCAGCCAUCAUUUAAAGAAAGCGUAAUAGCUCACUGGUCGAGUCGGCCUGCGCGGAAGAUGUAACGGGGCUAAACCAUGCACCGAAGCUGCGGCAGCGACACUCAGGUGUUGUUGGGUAGGGGAGCGUUCUGUAAGCCUGCGAAGGUGGCCUGUGAGGGUUGCUGGAGGUAUCAGAAGUGCGAAUGCUGACAUAAGUAACGAUAAAGCGGGUGAAAAGCCCGCUCGCCGGAAGACCAAGGGUUCCUGUCCAACGUUAAUCGGGGCAGGGUGAGUCGACCCCUAAGGCGAGGCCGAAAGGCGUAGUCGAUGGGAAACGGGUUAAUAUUCCCGUACUUGGUGUUACUGCGAAGGGGGGACGGAGAAGGCUAUGUUGGCCGGGCGACGGUUGUCCCGGUUUAAGCGUGUAGGUGUGUGUUCCAGGUAAAUCCGGUUCACUUUAACACUGAGGCGUGAUGACGAGGCACUACGGUGCUGAAGCAACAAAUGCCCUGCUUCCAGGAAAAGCCUCUAAGCAUCAGGUAACAUCAAAUCGUACCCCAAACCGACACAGGUGGUCAGGUAGAGAAUACCAAGGCGCUUGAGAGAACUCGGGUGAAGGAACUAGGCAAAAUGGUGCCGUAACUUCGGGAGAAGGCACGCUGACACGUAGGUGAAGUGAUUUACUCAUGGAGCUGAAGUCAGUCGAAGAUACCAGCUGGCUGCAACUGUUUAUUAAAAACACAGCACUGUGCAAACACGAAAGUGGACGUAUACGGUGUGACGCCUGCCCGGUGCCGGAAGGUUAAUUGAUGGGGUCAGCGCAAGCGAAGCUCCUGAUCGAAGCCCCGGUAAACGGCGGCCGUAACUAUAACGGUCCUAAGGUAGCGAAAUUCCUUGUCGGGUAAGUUCCGACCUGCACGAAUGGCGUAAUGAUGGCCAGGCUGUCUCCACCCGAGACUCAGUGAAAUUGAACUCGCUGUGAAGAUGCAGUGUACCCGCGGCAAGACGGAAAGACCCCGUGAACCUUUACUAUAGCUUGACACUGAACAUUGAGCCUUGAUGUGUAGGAUAGG